UACGAGGGGGGCGAGCGUUGUUCGGAAUUAUUGGGCGUAAAGAGCUCGUAGGCGGUUUGUCGCGUCGGCUGUGAAAACCCGGGGCUCAACCCCGGGCCUGCAGUCGAUACGGGCAAACUAGAGUGUGGUAGGGGAGACUGGAAUUCCUGGUGUAGCGGUGAAAUGCGCAGAUAUCAGGAGGAACACCGGUGGCGAAGGCGGGUCUCUGGGCCAUAACUGACGCUGAGGAGCGAAAGCGUGGGGAGCGAACAGG
rnacentral:rRNA from 1 species